UACGGAGGGGGCUAGCGUUGUUCGGAAUUACUGGGCGUAAAGCGCACGUAGGCGGCUUUGCAAGUUAGAGGUGAAAGCCCGGGGCUCAACUCCGGAACUGCCUUUAAAACUGCAUCGCUAGAAUUGUGGAGAGGUAAGUGGAAUUCCGAGUGUAGAGGUGAAAUUCGUAGAUAUUCGGAAGAACACCAGUGGCGAAGGCGACUUACUGGACACAUAUUGACGCUGAGGUGCGAAAGCGUGGGAGCAAACAGGG
rnacentral:rRNA from 1 species